AUACGUAGGGGGCAAGCGUUAUCCGGAUUUACUGGGUGUAAAGGGAGUGUAGGUGGUCUGGCAAGUCAGAUGUGAAAGCCCGCGGCUCAACUGCGGGACUGCAUUUGAAACUGUCAGACUGGAGUGCAGGAGAGGAAAGUGGAAUUCCUAGUGUAGCGGUGAAAUGCGUAGAUAUUAGGAAGAACACCAGUGGCGAAGGCGGCUUUCUGGACUGUAACUGACACUGAGGCUCGAAAGCGUUGGGAGCAAACAGGAUUAGAUACCCUGGUAGUCCACGGCGUAAACGAUGAAUACUAGGUGUCGGGUGGCAAAGCCAUUCGGUGCCGCAGCUAACGCAAGAAGUAUUCCACCUGGGGAGUACGUUCGCAAGAAUGAAACUCAAAUGAAUUGGCGGGG
rnacentral:rRNA from 1 species